rnacentral:misc_RNA from 1 species
UCUGGAGUAAACCAACAACGCCUUAACAACAUCAACUACAAUCAUCCAAUUCUACAGGAAUUAUACAUGUGCAUAGACAAAUUAGCAAACUAAAAAGUAAAGAUAAACACACGCACACCACCCAAUUCUACAUACACAUAAAAACAACAAACUCCAACUACUACUAUCACUACUGGAAGAAGGUGGCCUAAUUUUGAACACUCACUUCCGUCGCAGAACCAGGCUUCACCUUUGGGGGCCGACCCCUUGGCCUCCCAGUCCCCGUUGCCAUUGCCACAGCUGUGGUUGUAGUAGUUCCACUCAUUCCUCCUGUAGGCCGUGCCAUCUUGCGUGGCCUCCCUCUUGGCUUUCCACUACCUGUAGCUGCAACCUUUGGCUUCACUGGCUUUGGGAUUGGGGGUGCAUUUGGGUCCUUUGGUGGACGGCCCCUAGGUCUGGCACGGGCCACAACUGAACCCGGUGGUAAUGGAACCUUGGCUUUGGGGGGCCUCCCACGGCCACGCCUCGGAGGUGCAUUGGGCUCUGCUUUCAUGUAGUUGUUUUUCCAAAAGACUAACUCCCCAGUAUCCUUCAUUCUGUUGAGGUGGUGUGAGAGUAGCGUUGUGUGGGCGGCUGGCAAUUCCCCAUAUUUUGAUUCAAUAUACUUUGAAAUGGAUGUCUUAUUGGAGCCGUUUUUCUCAUUCAAAGCUUCAACUGCUGCCAAAAUCAUCUCAGGGUAAGGAGGGAGUGAUAAAGGCUUAUCAAUCUCUUCAGCAGCCAUUAAUUUUCCCAAGAGAGAGAAAGAGAUAGAGAGGGAAAGUGAUAAACUUCUUCAAAGUCCAAACUCGGUGAGUCCCCACAGCCACAAGGGCAGCUCCCAACAAC